GAUGAACGCUGGCGGCGUGCCUAAUACAUGCAAGUCGAGCGAACAGACGAGGAGCUUGCUCCUCUGACGUUAGCGGCGGACGGGUGAGUAACACGUGGAUAACCUACCUAUAAGACUGGGAUAACUUCGGGAAACCGGAGCUAAUACCGGAUAAUAUAUUGAACCGCAUGGUUCAAUAGUGAAAGACGGUUUUGCUGUCACUUAUAGAUGGAUCCGCGCCGCAUUAGCUAGUUGGUAAGGUAACGGCUUACCAAGGCGACGAUGCGUAGCCGACCUGAGAGGGUGAUCGGCCACACUGGAACUGAGACACGGUCCAGACUCCUAUGGGAGGCAGCAGUAGGGAAUCUUCCGCAAUGGGCGAAAGCUUGACGGAGCAACGCCGCGUGAGUGAUGAAGGUCUUCGGAUCGUAAAACUCUGUUAUUAGGGAAGAACAAAUGUGUAAGUAACUAUGCACGUCUUGACGGUACCUAAUCAGAAAGCCACGGCUAACUACGUG
rnacentral:rRNA from 1 species